rnacentral:rRNA from 1 species
GACAGAGGUGGCAAGCGUUGUUCGGAAUCACUGGGCUUAAAGCGCGUGUAGGCGGCUCCGAAAGUGUCGUGUGAAAUCCCGUGGCUCAACCACGGAACUGCGCGGCAAACUCCGGGGCUUGAGGCCGGUAGAGGUGCCUGGAACUCUCGGUGGAGCGGUGAAAUGCGUAGAUAUCGAGAGGAACGCCGGAGGCGAAAGCGGGGCACUGGGCCGGUUCUGACGCUGAGACGCGAAAGCGUGGGGAGCAAAC